UCCGAAUUGGUGUAUCGGUAACAUAUCCGCCUCUCACCACAUCUUCAGGAGGUGGAGGAUCGCGGUUGCGCGGGGUUCGAUUCCCCGAUUCGGAG